AACAAGGGCAUGAAAACCAGGAGCCAAGGGUCAUUGGGAACCAUCUUGGAGGUUCCCAGGCACCCCCCACCCCCAAAUUCUUGACCCACAGAAUUCAUGAGCGUGAUCAAAUGGUGGUUGUGUACGCCUUGACCUUUGGGGUGGUCUAUUACACAGCGGUAGUUAAUGAGAACAGAGCCAAGAGAAGUAUUCAUCCAGGUCAGAUUACCACCAGAGGGCGUCUGACAGCUCAUUCCCUGGGGAUGUCAGCUGAGCCACGGCACCUGCUGACCUGCCCCGGGGCGGCGGAAAUAGGGGAAAGGGCACUAGAGAGAGAAAGCCAAGGACGUGACCAGGUGACAAAUGGACAAGAAGAGGAAGAAAGACAGAUUCUGCCCAUGUCCACAGGCCCUGGGAUUAGGGCUGCGUGGGGUAGAUGCUCCAGGAGCAGCAAGCCAUGGGGGCUAAGAGAGGGCAGGGAAGAGAAAGUGGAAGGAGCCCUUCUCCUCUCCUGCCAUCCGUCCUCCCUGCUGGAACUUUGACUCCAACACAGAAUGGCCUUUGAAAAAGGAAACACCAGGAGUUCCCUGGUGGCACAGCCAGGUUAAGGAUCCAGUGUUGUCACUGUGGGUUCGAUCCUUGGGCUGGGAACUUCCAUAUACCACAGAAGAAACCAAAAAGAUUAAAAAUAAAUAAAUAAAAUUUUUUUAAAAAGAAAAAGAAAAAGGAAAAAC
rnacentral:lncRNA from 9 species